rnacentral:rRNA from 1 species
AGUGAACGCUGGCGGCAGGCCUAAUACAUGCAAGUCGAACGGCAGCACGGCAGAGCUUGCUCUGUGGGUGGCGAGUGGCGGACGGGUGAGGAAUACAUGGGAAUCUGCCCAGUCGUGGGGGAUAACGUAGGGAAACUUACGCUAAUACCGCAUGCGCCCUUCGGGGGAAAGCCGGGGACCUUCGGGCCUGGCGCGAUUGGAUGAGCCCAUGUCGGAUUAGCUAGUUGGCGGGGUAACGGCCCACCAAGGCGACGAUCCGUAGCUGGUCUGAGAGGAUGAUCAGCCACACUGGAACUGAGACACGGUCCAGACUCCUACGGGAGGCAGCAGUAGGGAAUAUUGGACAAUGGGCGCAAGCCUGAUCCAGCCAUGCCGCGUGAGUGAAGAAGGCCUUCGGGUUGUAAAGCUCUUUUACCAGGGAUGAUAAUGACAGUACCUGGAGAAUAAGCUCCGGCUAACUCCGUG